rnacentral:rRNA from 1 species
UACGUAGGGUGCAAGCGUUGUCCGGAAUCAUUGGGCGUAAAGAGCUCGUAGGCGGUCUGUCGCGUCUGCUGUGAAAACUCAGGGCUUAACCCUGAGCUUGCAGUGGGUACGGGCAGACUAGAGUGCGGUAGGGGAGACUGGAAUUCCUGGUGUAGCGGUGAAAUGCGCAGAUAUCAGGAGGAAGACCGGUGGCGAAGGCGGGUCUCUGGGGCGUAACUGACGCUGAGGAGCGAAGGCAUGGGGAGCGAACAGG